AGAAUUUGGGGAAUCCACAAGUUGAGUCUGCAACGAGCAGUGGAGUUCCAAAGUUCAACAAUUGCCGAGCUUGUUUCAGUAUGUCACAAAUUACCCAGAAUAUGGAUAGUGAUGCAGUAGAAUUGGAAAAAUUUCUGCAGGACUCUUUACCAGAGAUACACUUUGUUGAAGCAAUGAAAUUAUGGGGAUUUAGUUCUGGAGAGCUGACACCAUCAAAGGGUCUUGAAACUCUGACGUGCCACCUCCUUAAGAGUUACUUUGAUCAUCAAAUUCAUCAUGUUAAUCCACAAUUUUCAAAAGGGCAUUGACAUGGUCCUGAAUUCAAAAACUGUGUAGCUUAUUUUGCAAUUAAAAAAGAAGUUCACAAAGUGUUUCCUCAUCACGCGGAUGCGGAAUUCGAUGGUUAUGUCCAGUCCUGGUUCAACCAACGAACAACUUCAUCGUAAGUCAUUGGUAUCGGUACCCAUAGAGCUGCACCCAAAUGUACCAUCUGUGUUAAACGAUUAGAAAACCAAAUAAUUUUUACUGAUGACAGAACAGACUUGGAAACAAUGUGGCUGAGUUGCUGUCCAAAAAAUUGCCUUAAUCUGAGGGAUAUGGUAAAUGGCUUUCUUGAAAAUUUCAUUUUGCAAGAUCACCUCACUGCCCCGUUAACUUUGACAAAGAAUUGCUUUGGAAACAACUUUGAAACCUGCGUAGUUAUGUUUUUAAUUCGGGAGAGAGGUUCAAAAUUAUUUCCUAAGGAUGGAUGCAAUGCUUACAAUUACGUCAAAGAUUGGUUUAAUGGCCCACUCAAUCUAUUAGAAGACAUUGUAUCGAUUGCAAUGGUGGUCAAGCAGGAGGAAACGAACCCAUCACUUAAAGUGAUCCAAAUCUAUUUGCCAGAAGAAAAAAAGAAAGAUGAAGUGACUAUGAUUUGUUCAAUUCUUGAUUACAUCCUCAAAAAACACUACGUGGGUUUUGUAUUAUCCUGUAGAAUGUCUAAGAGUAUUCCAAACUGUCUUGGUCAAGAGAUCCACCGUAAGU